rnacentral:rRNA from 1 species
GACUACCGGGGUAUCUAAUCCUGUUUGCUCCCCACGCUUUCGCACCUCAGCGUCAGUAUCGGGCCAGGUGGUCGCCUUCGCCACCGGUAUUCCUCCCGAUAUCUACGAAUUUCACCUCUACACCGGGAAUUCCACCACCCCCUCCAGUACUCAAGCCAUCCAGUUUCAAAUGCACUUCCACGGUUGAGCCGUGGACUUUCACAUCUGACUUAAAUAGCCGCCUACGCGCGCUUUACGCCCAGUAAUUCCGAACAACGCUUGCACCCUCCGUAUUACCGCGGCUGCUGGCACGGAGUUAGCCGGUGCUUCCUUUGGUGGUACCGUCAAAUAGUACACGUAUUAGGCAUACUACAUUUCUUUCCACCUGACAGGAUUUUACGACCCGAAGGCCUUCAUCAUCCACGCGGCGUCGCUGCGUCAGGGUUUCCCCCAUUGCGCAAUAUUCCUCACUGCUGCCCCCCGUAGG